GAAAAAUGGGAAUAUUAAGAUGCUGUAGUAAGUGGAGCACAACUAUUGGAUUCAUCUUCAAUAGGAAACUUAUAACCCAAGUUCAACUUUACUUUCUGCGAAAUAUUAGUGCACACAGGACUCAGAUUUGUUGCAGUGCAGGACCGUUGAAAGGCGACCGCUUGGCCAGCAAUAACAGUUAGAGAGGCGGCCCACAAUUGUUUACAAAUAAGGCGGUCUCCGGCUCCAGCUUCAGUUACCACCCCUCUGCACUUCCCCCCCACCAACAGCUGUCAUAUUUUUGAACUGGUUGGCCGCCAGUGCAUUGAACUGCAAGGCAAACAGGUAACAAAACUUGGCCCCGGCACAGUGGUACCCACUUGCAGUGGACUUUAGCAUUCUAAAAAUCAAGUAAAAGCCUGGUAACUCAAGCAAUUGUGGGCGAUCUCGAAGGCUGAGAACUGAGAACAUAACAUUCAAUCUAAGAAAACAAAUAUAUGUCGAUAAGAAAUCAUAAAAAGUAAUAAACACAGACAGCUACUACAUAAGAUGCAAAAAAUAUGGUUUUUCAAAUGUAAAGUACUUUACUUGCAAUGAUUUAUGCACAACAUUGUGUGUUUUCUAGCUUCCUACAUAUGUUUAAUAUCUCAUAACAUUUCCAUGUGCUGUCUAUUUAAUUUAGCUUAAGGUUGUAAAAUUUCCACUGUACUGGGCUUGUUUUACCAAUUAUUCGAACACAACCACUGUGCUACGCGCUUUUGGCGAAACGAACACGAAGAUCAAUAGAUCAAGUGCAACCAUUUGGAGUGCGCGAGAAGCAAUUGCUAAAUGGUUACAUCUCGCGUUGGACAGCGGCAUUUUUCCAGCUAAGAGGUGGCUUUGGAUGGCGAUUGUGAUUGGGAUUGGGAUUGGGUAUGGGGUUUUGGAAUGCACAACUGCAAGAACAGAGAUCGUAGAAUGCCGCCGUGCUUGGGCUUGAGAAGGAAUGCCGCCAACCAACCGACCAGACGUCGCCAAAGAGCCGGGCGAGAAAAGAGAUCACUGCCCACAGUGCGGCCGUCUAAUGGUCACUUGCGGCUGUUUAGCGGCCUUAGGAUAUAAAUUGAAUGCGGAGCUGCGCAGAGCAAGUACACUCGAAGAAAAGAGUGCUUCUAAGCUUAGCAGUAACGUUUGGCAAACAGCAAUACAACAUGCACAAAUCCCAUUAAAUACACAAAAAGCGCAUCAAUAAGUAUAAUUUAGCUGCAUUAGGUACUUCUAGGUGCUUUGGUACUUGUAGGUAUUUUUAAGCCUAAACAGAUUUUAUAUGCAUUUCAAAAAGAUUUCUUCCAGUGCAGAUACUGCAUCGUCAGCCAGAUCGCCCAAUAUCAAUCAUUUGGAUUGCAGCUGCCGCAAGGCGCGUGGCACAUCGGCCCCCGUGCCGUUGUAACUCAGGUAAAUAUGUAUCUCAACAUUUAUAUAUAUAUAUGUAUAUUAUUCGCUCAGGUGUAACUCGAGCUCCACGCGAUGCUUGUGCGUCUUAAGCGGUACGUGAUGAGGUAAUAAACACGCCAACUUAAGCGAAAAACGCAGCUCAGCCAUCGGCAAACAUCAGCGCCCUUCCCAAACAUUCAAAGUGGAACCCUAGAAAGCAGCUGUCAAUAUCUUUGGGGUUUGGCUAAGUGAAAAGGUGUAUUUUAGGUGUUGGCAGAUGCAGAUGCAAAUAUUAUACGGCUUCCGUGGUUGCCACGCGCUUGAAUUACUGCCUUCGAUUAAGUGAUAAUUAAUUGAUCUGUCGAGAUACCUGUACUACCAACUAAAUUGAAAAGUUAAGAGAAGCAUGCUCUUCUUAAGUAUUCAUAUUUUAUAUAUCUCACAUAAUACCCAUUUUAAUACAAUGGAAAUGUAGGAGUAUUACUUUUACAAAGCUUACUUUUUCAGUUUAUCCCCGACUUCUAUUAUUUGAACCUUAUCUACUACUUGUUUUGUACCUAUUGGCCUUAAAGUAUUAAUAACUUUUCAAGGAACUGGCCUUUAUUGACUUUUAUAGAAUGGUUGGUAAGGUUACGUUAGCUGAAAACGUGUCAAUAUAGAAAGACUCGCAAAUACGCUUAAGUUUAUAGUCCCAUAUAACUCGCAAAGUGCAUUUAGAACCCAAGAUUAUAACCCAGGGCUCUCAGCGCCUUAAAAUCCCCUUUAUCACUCAAUGGGUGGAUCUCAAGUGUUUGGUGGAGCAUUUCAAAGCCUUUCAGUAAGGCGUUACCGGAAAUCGUAUAACCAACACUCCGCGACACUAAUUCAUUCGAAUAUCCAUGUGAAAAUGACACGACAAAAGCCGGGGAAUGCCAAUGGAAAAAUGCAAAAAUAAAAAGAAAUAAAAAAUCAAAAGCAAAAAACAUUUUGCUGGCACUGGCAUGUCGUGUGUAAAUCUCGCCUAGACUUAACGGCUGCGAAAAUUAAUUACCGCUGAUUGUGCUCGUCACAGUGUGAAGUGCUUUGCAAGUUGAGUACAGCUGCACCUGCUAUCAGUCCGCCAAAGAAUAAUCAAUUAAUCAUAAAUGCGCAAUUUGUACAAAAGACAUUUUAUGCUCCACCAGGUUCUGGAAACUAAGUUGCCAACCGCUUUAUCACUUUGAAUACAAAUUAUACGUAAGAUAUCGCAAAGAUAAAUAAUUUACUAUCAAUUAUUAAGGCCUUUGCACUUAGGCAUAAAGAGAACAUUGAUUACAUUUUCAUAGAAAAUAACCAUUGUAUUUAUUAACUAACUUUUUUUUAUAUAUUUUAGAAGCCAAGCAAACCGCAACUAAACCGCAUAAACAAGUGUGGCAAAUUCCCAAACGUUCUGUUAAUUUCAGCACGAUUCCUACGUGCACUGUAAAAUAUGCCACACAUAGAAAUGUUCAACAACUUCAAAGAUACAACGUUUCUGCAUUCUUCUAUUCUUCAAUGGCUUUAAAAACUAUUCUUCAUACUUUUAUUCUUCAAUGGCUUUAGAAACUAUUAAAUUUUUUUUUCGUGUCUGACAAGUUCAAUGCGCUGUUUUUUUUUUCAUUUCAGAGUAGGACCAACCACACACCGCCCAGUGGGCGAUAAGCAACGGCCUUGUCAAUUAGCAUUGGCUUUCGAAAAGCACCUCAUAGCCCGUACCCCGCACUCCGCUCCCCAUCUUCGCACUCAUCAUCAGCCGCCUCACCUGAUUUUAUCAUUCGUUUCACCUGGCGGCAGCGAAAUUCCGCUUAGGUGUGAAAAAAGGGGCGAUACACAUGUACCGCUUUUCUUUCUGUUGUAUGUUUUCUUUUUUGUAUUUUUUUAUUACUAUUUCAACUCUCGGUUCUAGUUGCAAUCUUGUGCGCUGUUUUGGUUUGUUUGCCAAGUUGUUUAAUUUGUAUUUGUCAUUAUUCUUUGCCAUUCGCUAUCUCAACGGGGCGCGUGCGUGCAAAUAUGCCAAAUUCGCACAUGGCAAUGGUCGGAUGUUUGCCCACAUGAUCGUCAUAUGGGGUAUCUGCUGUACCUGCUCAAAGCCAUCCAGCUCUUCUUAGAAAUUCUUAGCAUUUUUACCUCUAGAGAUCAAUAACUCUUGUGAUUAUAAAAGUAAACACAAAAGUUUAUAAAAAUGUCAUUUGCAUGCUCCAUUUGCGACAGGCCACAACACAAAAUACACCGCUUAGGCGACCCCUCCGAAAAAUAAUACCAAGAUAUAAAACUGUGUACUGGCAAUGUAGGAACUUGGCUCACAAAGGAAAAAAGGUUUCUGCUGGAAGGCAAGCGAACGAAAGCGAAAACACAACGCAAUAUUAUUUUAAUGCAGUCUAUAUCAAAUUUCGGCCAGUUGCAUGGAACCAAAUGCACUGAGAUGCACAAGAUAUGGUAAAAAAAUAAAUAAAAAUGUAAAACUGCAGCAAAUAACAGGGUUACAUCUUGUACCUUCCAGCUUAAAUAGGGAUUAUCAUUAAAGAUAAAUAUAACAUGUGUAGUUGCAUUUCUCUCAGUGUGCCUACAUGCCGCUCCAUUUUUCCUGUUCAUGACAGAAAAUUACGCGACGGUUACCAACCAACGAAGUUGCCUCGUCACUCGUCAUGGGACACGGGCAAAAGACUCGAGGAGUCCCAUAUCCAUGCCCAUUCCAUUCCCGAUUCCAUGCCCAUUCCACUCUCGAUUCCAAUCCCAUUCCCAUUCCCAUUUUCCAGAGCACACAGACCGUUCCCGUCAACAGGCGACUGGCAGUAAUCCGAUCUUGCAGUCGUGUCAAGUGUGCUGCAGUCCAGAUACAAGGAGCAUGCACUCACUCACCAGCACAUCUGCACAGCAACUACACCGCACAGAUACAGAUACAGAUACAGAUACAAAUACAGAUACAGAUACUAUAGAGUACUACCAGUUCUUUGGCAAUUGCCCAUCUUAACCACAGAAAUCAUAAAAAGCAUUGUUCGAAUGCGUAGUUUAGAUGUGUUCGGGCGGAUUGCCACAAUUAAAAUGCGGUCUGCGAUUAGAGAUAGUUUACGUUGCGGCAACUUCGAGGGUCAUUCGGUGGCUUUCGACUUGCGGGUCUUCAAAGUGAGCUCCAUACUUCUAUUUUAUUCGAAGGAAGCCUUAUCGCAAUCGCUUUAACACGAAUGAUGGCCAACCUCAGGUGGUUUACUAGAGAUUAGCACUCAAGUUGGUAAAGCACCAAAACCACCUUGUUGUACUUAUCUCGUACCAAAAUAAAUCGCUACGUGCAAUCUUAAGUUGAUUCUGAUUACAGAUUGUAAUAUUCCUAUAGUGUAUAUUGUAAAAUGGAAUUAAUUUGUAUUAUCAGCAAUUCUAACCAGACUAAAUGGAAUAAACAUAAUACUAUCUA